rnacentral:lncRNA from 1 species
UCCAAUUGGAAUGAUGGUGCUUCCUUAAAAACCUAGGAUCACAUUAACAUAAACAAUAGAUUAAUUUACACACUAUGAACUCUAAAAGCUAUCUCUUAGCUAGUUUUCAAUUGCCACUUUAAAUGGCUAUCUAUGUUCACUAUCUUAAUCACUAAAAAGUAAUGAACAUACCAAACAAUAAAAUAGCUCAUAAAUCCCAAUUACUAACCAUUUUCUACAGCUAAAAAUUGAGCUUAGUUAACCACUUACCCUAAGGCUCCUUUGUAGUCAAAUUCCCUUCCAAUUGCUUCCAAAUAAAUGGUGUAAUUCUCUCAUUCUCUCUCUAGAACGUCCAGAUAGUGAGAGAAAGUGUGAAAACCAGAUUUUUGAAGGGUUUUAAAGUGAGAGGAUGAAAGAAUCCAAAGGUUCUAGUCAAAAGGGUACAAAGGUGUGAAAACUAGAGCAAGAGAGAGAUAAUCACUCAAGCUUCAAAUCAAGCUUCCAUGGAGUUUUGAAGAAACGUGAGAGAGGAGAAGGGAAGAAGAAGACCAGCUGCUGGAAAUUCAAGAAGCUGCUAGAAAUUCAAGAUAUUUAUAGGCCAUCUUAUCCUUUCCUUUAAAAUUACGAAAAUGCCCCUCCACCAAUUAACUUACUCUCCUCUAAUCUUUUAUGCAAUCUUUUUGCUCUUUUAACACUGGGACAAUAUCCAUAAUGGUCUAAACAUGCUCGAGUUCAUAAAAACAUAAAAUUUUAACCCGAGGUGAAAAAUGACCAUUUUGCCCUUAUUAUGAAAAUUGUUGAAACUUCUAGUUUUCUUCGUGAUUUCAUCAGCACACAUCAUUUAUACAGUGUUAGUCCUAUUUAGGCCUUAAAAUAUCAUAAAACUUUCUUCUGGAAGCUUAUUAGAGAAAAUGACAAAACUACCCCUAACCCAUAUUAUUACAUCUAUACUUAGUUACAAGCCUAUAGAAGUUAGGGUAUCACAUGUUAAAUCUCGGAGGCCUCUAUUGUUUUUGUGAAAAUAGAGGUCGGGAAGAUGUUACUAAAAUAGUAGUGGUACUUCUUGAAACAAAUGAGUCUUUGCCCUUUUUUGGUGGCUGACUAGAAGAUACACUCAAAUUUCUCCUUUUUGCUAACUCAGCUCGCAUUCUCCUAUUUUCAUUCGCAAGCUUUCAGCUCUUAAAGCCAUUUACACCGCCUAUUUAGCUACGGUUACGUCCGACUCACCCAUAAAAGAAGUGCAACCAUGUUGCCUAGCCUCUUUAAGCUUCUUAGAAUUAGAAACAUCCAGCACCAGUGGUGGGACACGAGGUGGGGGUGGUGGUACUGAAGGAGCAGCUGGAAGAGCUAUAGGAAGAGCUUGAGCAGCCUGAGCCUGGCCAGCAAUAGUAGUAAAGAAGGCUGCCAAUGCUUGAACUGCCUUAAGAUGCAUGGCAAGAAUACUAGUAAGUGGUAGAAGAGGUGGAGGAUGUAGAGGAGUCUCGGUCUGCUUAGCAGCAGGUGUUGCUCGAAUAGUAGACGCAGUCGAUUCCCCUUCCUAUAGGAUCUAGCUGACGAUGUUGAGAACUACCUCUUCCCCUCCCAACCGAUCUAGUGAGAGAUGGGUGUUCACGUUGAGCAGGCAUGAUAAUCUAUAAGAAGGAAUAAGGCAAGUUUAAACAACCUCAGGCUCUACAUGCAAAUACAUGAAUUCCAUUCAGUCUAACCUAACUUAACUCGGGGCCACACUGACAUUGUAAAUUUUUAAAAUAACUUUAAAAGAAAAAACUUUGUGUUUUGAUCUUUAAAACCAAAAGCUCUGAUACCAAUGUAAUUGUCAUGACCAAAAACUCUCAUCGAGCCCGUGACAACCGUUGCGACAUACCGAUAGACAUUCAUUACUUGGAAUGUCAAUCGAAACCUCCCAAGGCUUAACAUCAGUUUUUCUCGCUUCCCCUCUGAGUAUUAGUUACUAAAAUCAUGUUUGAGAGAUUAUAAAUUAUUUCCAAAUCAAAACAAUAGAAAAAAAAUUUUUUUCUCACAGGGGCAUUUUGGUCAUUUUUCCUCAAAAAUCUUGAAAUUCGUUAAAAAUAUAGUAUGCGAGUACAAAACACAUAAUUCAUAAUCAAAAAUAAGUUUAAACAUCUAAAACCUUCAUUUAAAAUGAAAUUAUGAUUAUUUUGAUAAAUUAAAAAAAAUAAAAGAAAUAUUCAAUAAAAUAUUCUAUUUUCUUAUAAAAUAAUAUUUUUAGAGAUAUACUUAAAUAAUUUUUACAACGUAAAAGCAAAAUAAAUUCAUACAUACUGUAAUACAGUAAGUCAGAGUAUUUAAUUUAAUUUACAAUAACCAGUGGGCCCCCGAAUAACCAAAAGUAAGGAAGACUAUGAACCUACAGUUUGAAGGAUGCAAAUCCAAUGGUAGCCUCGAUGAAAUUAGCUAUCUACAACCUAUUCUGAGCUUGAAAUGGGUGGAAAGGAGGGUGGUGAGAUUAUAUAAUCCCAGUGAGUAAACAAAUACCAUCUAAAAUAUCUAAAGCUGAGUAAAUGGAGAUAGAUAAAAUAGUUUAACAUGUUGUAAUUCAUCACUUUUCAACUCAUUUCAACCAAAUAAAAUCAAUUCAUAUAAAUCGAGUAAUCAACAUGGCUUGUGAAUUUCUUAAAAAUUUGGCUCAUGCCAAAAUCAUUCUCAUACUCAGUUAUCAGGGAUACCUUGGCCAAGGGCUAUCCCAACCGAGACCGCUAAGGCUGUUAAAAAGUUAUGUACGCAUAAAUCAUGUUUUUAUUUUGAAAACAUAGCCAAUCCUUGGCGUUUGCUGAGUUCACCCUCACGUGGUGGUUUGGCGUGAAGUGAACUCUAAAGUUUUAACCUCAGGAGUUAUCCAACCGCGCCUCUCAUACUGAGGUAUGAAUAUAAUAGGGUUACCGUGCCCCUCUAAUAGGCUGAUCCACGAAACCCGUCUACUGCAGCGACUAAUUUAUAACCCACCAUACAAUAAAAUUUGCAACAGCAUGACAUGGCAAUUAUUUUAUUUUAUAGCCUCUCAAGGCAAAUUAACAGUUCAUACAUUUUCAACACAAAUACUAAUUCAGUCAUUCAUGCAAAUAUUAUCAUAAGCCAUUCAAUUCAAACCAUGAUUUAUAACACAGUAAUUAGUCUCCAAUUACUCCAUUUUCAAAACCAUCUUUCAAUUUCAAGACAAUUUAUAAAAUCAUUUCAUUUAAACAAAUUUUGUUUAUAAAACCUAAAAAUUUACCAUUUAAACUCAUUUUCCAUAAAUUACAAAAUUGGAUAAAAAUCACUUUAGAUAAUUAAGACGAUAGUAAGGUUACUCACUAUUUCAGGAGUCGAAUUUUGAAUACUCCGAUUCUUGAUUCUUGGGUAUUAUCUCUUUACUUGUGCUAGAAUGCUCAACACCAAGACAUAAUGCACAAUAAGCCAUUUAGUACAUUUGUGCUAAAUUGUUAUAAAACCAAUUCAGGCUUUAUACUAAUGUAUGAAAUGGGAUGCAAAUUGUUCAGAUUAUCAUCUAAACACGGUGUUCUACACAAAUUCAAUUGUGUACCUAAAUAAAACGGUAUUGGCCUAAUUCGAUCUAUCACUCGAUUAAUUGGUCAAUAUGUCCAAUUUAACUCCAAUUAAUUCUAUUUUUCUCCUAAUACUCCAAAUCAUCAAACACAAAUUAAAUAACUUGAAAUAUGGCAAAAUCAUCCUCACAUUUUCUCUUGGAAAAUUCAGCCAUGGUGGGUGCAUCAACAUUAUAAUUUUUCAAGCUUGAUUCUCACACCAUAAAUCACUAAUUUCUAACCAAAUCAUUUGAAAUAAAAUCAAAAUCAUCAUCAAUAUUCUACAUGGAGAAUUCGACCAAUGAUGGGUGAUGGGAGAAAAUGAAUUUUUCUUGUUGACUUUUCAUGCUACACAAUAGUAACUAACUAAAAACACUGAAAUACAUUGAAAUCUAACCAAAUCAAGCAUCAAAACUCCUCCCCCCAUGUCUGGUUAACAAGGGUAUCCUCAUGCAAACUUGAUUCUCAACCAUGGAAAAUGAAAAAGAAUACAUAGGAAAGGUAGAUCACAAGCUAGAAUUGAAAAAUCUUACCUUUUUUCACUUGUUUCCUUGAAUUUUCACACUUUUCACUUGAAUUUUUCCACCUAGGGUUUUUGUUCUUCUUUUUUUCCUUUGUUCUUCCUUC